GUAUCUCAGCCACAACUGCAUUACAGCUCUCAGACCUGGAGUAUUCAAAGACUUGCAUCAGCUCACUUGGCUAAUUCUAGACGACAAUCCAAUUGCCAGAAUUUCACAGCGGUUGUUUACAGGAUUGAAGUCCUUAUUUUUCCUGUCUAUGGUUAAUAACCACUUGGAAGCCCUUCCCAAGGAGAUGUGCACCCAAAUGCCUCACCUCAACUGGAUG